GGUAUAACCCCUGUGAAAGAGUCAUUCACCUCCUCCCCCCCCCCAAAAGGGGCUUCGACCCACUGGCUGAGAAUCACUGGUCUAGGAUGAGGUCUGAGGAUGGAGACUGACGAACAAGGGUACUUCUGAGCUUUUCCAAUAAAAUCCCAGACCGUUCAGAUCUGAGCCUGAGGCCACAAACUGGACUCCUGACACUGUGGUUACAGGUGAACUUGCUGACUCAACAUCUACGCUAGACCCAGGCUUCCAGGAAACUCAAGGCAUGGAUCUUCUUUUCUAUAGACAGUGCCUCAAAGACCGGGCCUUUGUAGUGCAUGACGCUGAAGCACUUUGAGUUUGUCAUCUUGGAAGACAAGAACGCCCUAUCUGCUUCUGCCCUGGCCUAUUCACCUUCCAUGCUGUGAGGCCCUCUGGGGGUACAGGGUGAUGCUAUCCCAUUUCCACCUGCGUGUGGUGUCCCACGGUCAGCACAUACCUGGGCUCGGUGCAGCCGCUUCAGUUCCUCCUGCUUAGCCUGUCUCCGAGCUGCCUUCUGCACACGCCUCGUCAGCUUGGCACUCAGCUCCUCCUCUGUGUAGGUUCUGGGCUAGAGAGGGUGAGAGAGCACCUAAGCCCACCGCACGCAGGUGGAAGCUGGUUUAGGUGGUGAGUUGGCAUGGUCUCAGGGAAUCACUGCCUGGUAGCCAGCUGGGCAUGGUAGGUGAGGCUGGGCCACAGACUUCACCAUAAUUGUCCCUGCUGAAGUCUUAAAUACCACAGGGCACAGCUGUGCCACACAGACCCCAAUGUGAGGCAUUUUACCUCUGUGGCAGCAAUAAGAGGCUUAAUGGAGGCUGCAUGUUGGGAGAUGAAACCACAGACAUGCAGAAACUCCUUCGGCAUUGAGACCAUCGUGGUCAUAUACGCAUUCCUGUGAUUUUCUUAAGGUGCUGUGGUGAUUGUAAAAAAAUACAACUCAGUAACACGUU
ensembl:antisense Gm43916 predicted gene, 43916